rnacentral:rRNA from 1 species
UACGUAUGGUGCAAGCGUUGUCCGGAAUUAUUGGGCGUAAAGAGCUCGUAGGCGGUUUGUCGCGUCGAAUGUGAAAACCCGGGGCUCAACCCCGGGCCUGCAUUCGAUACGGGCAGACUAGAGUUCGGUAGGGGAGUCUGGAAUUCCUGGUGUAGCGGUGAAAUGCGCAGAUAUCGUAAGGAAGACCAGUGGCGAAGGCGAAUCUCUGGACAGUUACUGACACUGAGGCACGAAGGCCAGGGGAGCAAACGGG